UACGUAGGGGGCUAGCGUUGUCCGGAUUUAUUGGGCGUAAAGAGCGUGUAGGCGGCCAGGUAGGUCUGCUGUGAAAACUCGAGGCUCACCUCGAGACGUCGGCGGAAACCAUCUGGCUAGGAGUCCGGAAGAGGAGAGUGGGAAUUCCCGGUGUCGAGCGGUGGAAAUGACGCAGAGUAUCGGGAAGAGCACCCCGUGGCUAAGGCGGCUCUCUAGUACGGUACUGACGCUGAGACGCGAAAGCGUGGGGAGCGAACAGG
rnacentral:rRNA from 1 species